rnacentral:rRNA from 1 species
UGGGGAAUUUUGGACAAUGGGCGAAAGCCUGAUCCAGCAAUGCCGCGUGUGUGAAGAAGGCCUUCGGGUUGUAAAGCACUUUUGUCCGGAAAGAAAUCCUUGGCUCUAAUACAGUCGGGGGAUGACGGUACCGGAAGAAUAAGCACCGGCUAACUACGUGCCAGCAGCCGCGGUAAUACGUAGGGUGCAAGCGUUAAUCGGAAUUACUGGGCGUAAAGCGUGCGCAGGCGGUUUGCUAAGACCGAUGUGAAAUCCCCGGGCUCAACCUGGGAACUGCAUUGGUGACUGGCAGGCUAGAGUAUGGCAGAGGGGGGUAGAAUUCCACGUGUAGCAGUGAAAUGCGUAGAGAUGUGGAGGAAUACCGAUGGCGAAGGCAGCCCCCUGGGCAAUACUGACGCUCAUGCACGAAAGCGUGGGGAGCAAACAGGAUUAGAUACCCUGGUAGUCCACGCCCUAAACGAUGUCAACUAGUUGUUGGGGAUUCAUUUCCUAGUAACGUAGCUAACGCGUGAAGUUGACCGCCUGGGGAGUACGGUCGCAAGAUUAAAACUUAAAGGAAUUGAUGGGGUCA